UUCCGGGAGCAUGAAAAUAGAAACAAAUCUUGUAAAAAUUAAAAUUUGUAAUUUGUAAAAUCAAAAUCGCAAUCCGUGCAAAAUUUUGCAAAAUUGGUUAAUUACCUAUUUCUAAUUAGGCGAUACAUUAAUCAAGAUUUCGAGAAUACUACAAUGGAUAGUCUUUGGCCCUGAAUUUUGAAUUAUUAUCAGAACAUUAAUUUUUGAGUUCGGAGUGUGGGCUUCAAGUUGAAGCCUUUCAACAUUCAGAUAAUUUGACAUUCGUCAUCUCAUCAUGAUCCCUGAACCAGCAAGAUACUUGAGGCGACCCAUGCGAUACUACGCCUUGCCACUGGUCAUGGUAAUGUGCGUCGCCGACAUGGCACUUAUUUAUAUGACGAAGAGACAGGCCAACAUCGACAAGAGGAGAUCCUUCGUUUUCCAUCCUGGAAGCAUAGUCUCACCUGACAGAACGCCAUACUAUCCAACCAAUUAGUAAAUAUUAAGGCAAUAACUAUACUGGUAUAAUGCUUAGCUUACUCCGUUUAGAAUAAAUGUUAAGUUUUCAAAAAAUCAUAA